GUGAGAGGAGUGUUUUGGUACGGUUUAAAGCUGGUAAAAGAAGAAGGCCAAAAGCAUAUUGGUAGAGGCUAUGAAAAACAAAUUCUUGGCUUACAUCAUAAAUAAAGGAAGUGGUCCUAGAGAAUGCAGAAUGAUGAUAAAGUGUUCUUUGAAUCAAGUACCUUAAGGCUCUGAUGAGACAGCAAAUAUUUCUGUUGUUGUUGAUUUAUGGUCAAUUUAAGCAGGGUAAACAUUUGAUUUAAGGUCAACCCUUUUGAAUAUUUAGUUUCUUGAAAUUGAAACCCAAAUAAAGAAUGAAUGCAGAGGUAAAAUGAUUAUGUAAUUUUUAUCCUUUUCUUUUAAUUUUGUUCAGGUGGGGAAGAUGUUGGUGCUUGAAAUUUUAGAUUAUUUUCCCUCAGAAUUUUAAAUUUGUGCAUGUUGACUGUCUAAUGAUAAAACUUUGUGCAGAUUU
rnacentral:misc_RNA from 1 species